UUGGAGGGCAAGUCUGGUGCCAGCAGCCGCGGUAAUUCCAGCUCCAAUAGCGUAUAUUAAAGUUGUUGCAGUUAAAAAGCUCGUAGUUGAAUUUCGGGGUUAGUAGGUUGGUCAUGCCUCUGGUAUGUACUGGUCUCACUGAUUCCUCCUUCCUUAUGAACCGUAAUGCCAUUAAUUUGGUGUUGCGGGGAAUUUGGACUGUUACUUGAAAAAUUGAGUGUUUAAAGCAAGCUAACGCUUGAAUACAUUAGCAUGGAAUAUGAAAUGGACG
rnacentral:rRNA from 1 species